AACGAACGCUGGCGGCAGGCUUAACACAUGCAAGUCGAGCGCCCCGCAAGGGGAGCGGCAGACGGGUGAGUAACGCGUGGGAAUCUACCUUUUGCUACGGAAUAACUCAGGGAAACUUGUGCUAAUACCGUAUGUGUCCUUCGGGAGAAAGAUUUAUCGGCAAGAGAUGAGCCCGCGUUGGAUUAGCUAGUUGGUGGGGUAAAGGCCUACCAAGGCGACGAUCCAUAGCUGGUCUGAGAGGAUGAUCAGCCACACUGGGACUGCGACACGGCCCAGACUCCUACGGGAGGCAGCAGUGGGGAAUAUUGGACAAUGGGCGCAAGCCUGAUCCAGCCAUGCCGCGUGAGUGAUGACGGUCUUAGGAUUGUAAAGCUCUUUCACCGGUGAAGAUAAUGACGGUAACCGGAGAAGAAGCCCCGGCUAACUUCGUGCCAGCAGCCGCCGUAAGAC
rnacentral:rRNA from 1 species